AAUAAACCGUUGAAAAGGCUAGUAAUAAGAUAGAUGUUUUAAGAGAGUCAGUGGUUGGUGUAAACUGAUAACUAUAUUUUAUGAAUCCACCUUGGAGGGACUGUGAUGAGCAGUACGGUGUAAUUCCGUUAAAUUAUUUAAGUGGAUAGAAGUAUGUUUUUAUAUAUUACUACUAUCAAUUAGGGUGGCAACACGGAGUCUUUCGUCCCUUGU
rnacentral:ncRNA from 1 species